rnacentral:rRNA from 1 species
AACAGAGGAUGCAAGCGUUAUCCGGAAUGAUUGGGCGUAAAGCGUCUGUAGGUGGCUUUUAAGUCCGCCGUCAAAUCCCAGGGCUCAACCCUGGACAGGCGGUGGAAACUACCAAGCUGGAGUACGGUAGGGCAGAGGGAAUUUCCGGUGGAGCGGUGAAAUGCGUAGAGAUCGGAAAGAACACCAACGGCGAAAGCACUCUGCUGGGCCGACACUGACACUGAGAGACGAAAGCUAGGGGAGCGAAUGGGAUUAGAACCUCGUGUCAGUCCAAGACCAUCUGUACCGAC